GCGACCCGCAGGUUGUGGAAGAAAUACGGUUUUCCUGUGCACCCGUGACUGCCUGGAACUCACUCUGUAGACAGGGCUAGUCUUGAACUCAGAUUCGCCUGCCGCUGCUUCCAGAGUGCUGGGAUACAGGUCAAGCAAAUAAAGUAGCUAAGGAAGCCGCCAAUCGAUGGACAGAUAACAUAUUUGCAAUAAAAUCCUGGGCCAAAAGAAAAUAUGGGUUUGAAGAAACUAAAAUUGAUAAAAACUUUGGAAUUCCAGAAGACUUUGACUACGUAGACUAAAGUGUUCGGUGCUGAACAAGGAUCUGUGGGCUUGUAAAUAUGUCAAGCUUUAAACCUUUAACUGAUGUUACCCAAUUAUCGUCUAACUGUUAAUUGUUUAUUUUAAUUUUUCAGUUUUUAAUAAAGUACACAUUAAGGGUGUU
rnacentral:lncRNA from 1 species